UACGUAGGGGGCGAGCGUUGUCCGGAGUUACUGGGCGUAAAGGGCAUGCAGGCGGUCGGACGCGUUUCGGGUGACAGCGGGUGGCUUAACUACCCGAGUGGUCGAAAGACGGUUUGACUUGAGGACGCGAGAGGGACACGGAAUUCCGGGUGGAGUGGUGAAAUGCGUAGAGAUCCGGAGGAACACCGAAGGCGAAGGCAGUGUCCUGGCGCGUAACUGACGCUGAGGAACGAAAGCUAGGGGAGCAAACAGG
rnacentral:rRNA from 1 species